GGGACUGAUGAUUUCAAAUUUGUCGCCCCAAUCUUAGUGUCAUACUAUAAAAUCCGAUUGACAUGCUAUUUGGCUAAUUGACAUACUAUUAAAUCUCACUC
rnacentral:snoRNA from 1 species